CAAAAGGCUGAAGGCCUAAGGGGUCUGAAUUCUGAACCUUCUAAUCUGCUAUUCAGAAAUAUCAAAUAUCUGCGCAAGUCAGUGCUGGUAAUUAACAUGCCUGCUACUUAUCACUCUUCCGUUUUUGCGUCACCACCACCACUUCCAUCAUCUUGCGCAGGUCAAAUUCCAGACCUUCUAAUCUGCUUCUAGAAAUACCAAUCAUCUACGCAAACAAACCUAUAAACCCCACUCCAAAAAAUCUUUUCUACAUUUGUAGCUUAUUUCACUACUCCAAUGGCUAAAAGCCGGCGUGCAAGGGGUCUGAAUUUCGGACCUUCGAAUCUACUAUUCCGGACCUUCGAAUCUUAAUUGAUUCACAUUUUUAACUAAGUUAAUUUUUAAAUAAAAUAAAACAAAGCGUGUAGCAUGCUACCUAUCUCUCUCUCAAAAAAAAAAAAAAAUCAAAUAUCUAGGCAAGUCAGUGGUGCUAACUAACAUGUCUGUCACUU
rnacentral:lncRNA from 1 species